rnacentral:rRNA from 1 species
UACGGGGGGGGGUAAGCGUUGUUCGGAAUUACUGGGCGUAAAGGGCACGUGAGCGGUUGGAUAAGUCAGCUGUGAAAACCACGGGCUUAACUCGUGGCCUGCAGUUGAGACUGUCUGGCUUGAGUGUGGGAGAGGAGAGUGGAAUUCCUGGUGUAGCGGUGAAAUGCGUAGAUAUCAGGAGGAACACCGGUGGCGAAGGCGGCUCUCUGGACCACAACUGACGCUGAGGCGCGAAAGCUAGGGGAGCAAACAGG